AAGCUCACUUCUACCAGCAUAUAUACCGAAAUUGGAACAAUUCAGAGAUUAGCAUGGCCCUUCCUUAAGAAUGAUAAGCAAAUUCGUGAAGCAUUUCAUAUUAAA
rnacentral:snRNA from 1 species